UACAUAGUAGCAUUCCAGAUUUUUCUGCAGUCCAGAAUAGAGCACCACCACCAUAGCAUUUCAAGCUCAUUCUAAGCUCAUCUUAUCAAUGACAUGGGGAGACACAUUGUUCAUU
rnacentral:lncRNA from 1 species